UACGAAGGGGGCUAGCGUUGCUCGGAAUCACUGGGCGUAAAGGGUGCGUAGGCGGGUCUUUAAGUCAGGGGUGAAAUCCCGGAGCUCAACUUCGGAACUGCCUUUGAUACAGCACAUCUGGAGUCCGGAAGAGGUGAGUGGAACUCCGAGUGUAGAGGUGAAAUUCGUAGAUAUUCGGAAGAACACCAGUGGCGAAGGCGGCUCACUGGUCCGGUACUGACGCUGAGGUGCGAAAGCGUGGGGAGCAAACGGG
rnacentral:rRNA from 1 species